rnacentral:rRNA from 1 species
AUGAUCAUGGACUUGGUGAAGGAGAUGGAGACCGAGAGGCCCCUGGUCGGGCAAUGCCUGCCGCUCUGGGAGGACCUGCGCGGCAAGGUCAGAGGCUGGUGCCGGAAAUUCAGCGUAGAAGAGGCCACUGCCAUGAAUGUGGUCGAGAGGAGGUUCAGGAAGAACUACCACCCGGCGUGGUCAGCGGCAUUCAUACUGGACCCAUUGUAUCUGAUCAAGGACGCUGGCAGGAGGUACCUUCCACCGUUCAACUACUUGACGCCAGAGCAGGAGAAGGACGUGGACAGGCUGAUCACGAGGCUGGUGUCGCCGGAGGAGGCGCACCUCGCGCUGAUGGAGCUGAUGAAAUGGCGGUCGGAGGGGCUCGACCCAUUGUACGCGCAGGCGGUGCAGGUCCGGCAGCCAGACCCGUCGACGGGGAAGAUGAAGAUAGCCAACAAGCAGAGCAGCCGUCUUGUCUGGGAGACAUGUCUCAGUGAGUUCAAGUCACUUGGCAAAGUGGCCGUCAGGCUCAUCUUCCUCCAUGCAACCGCCAAGGGGUUCAAAUGCACGCCGUCGAUGACGCGGUGGCUCACCGCGCCGGGGAGCUCAGCCGGCAGCAUCGGCCGGGCGCACCGGCUGGUGUUCAUCGCGGCGAAUUCGAAGCUGGAGAGGAGGGAUUUCUCAAACGACGACGACAAGGACGUGGAGCUGCUGACAGAAGGGGACGACGACAUGCUAACCGAGACUGGCAAUGUGGAUCCCUCCUCCUCCUCAGUGUAG